rnacentral:rRNA from 1 species
GAUGAACGCUGGCGGCGUGCUUAACACAUGCAAGUCGAACGGGAAACUUUUCAUUGAAGCUUCGGCAGAUUUGGUCUGUUUCUAGUGGCGGACGGGUGAGUAACGCGUGGGUAACCUGCCUUAUACAGGGGGAUAACAACCAGAAAUGGUUGCUAAUACCGCAUAAGCGCACAGGACCGCAUGGUCCGGUGUGAAAAACUCCGGUGGUAUAAGAUGGACCCGUGUUGGAUUAGCUAGUUGGCAGGGUAACGGCCUACCAAGGCGACGAUCCAUAGCCGGCCUGAGAGGGUGAACGGCCACAUUGGGACUGAGACACGGCCCAGACUCCUACGGGAGGCAGCAGUGGGGAAUAUUGCACAAUGGGGGAAACCCUGAUGCAGCGACGCCGCGUGAAGGAAGAAGUAUCUCGGUAUGUAAACUUCUAUCAGCAGGGA